UUAAACGAAUUCGCCCUUGGCCUACGGGAGGCAGCAGUCGGGAAUAUUGCGCAAUGGAGGAAACUCUGACGCAGUGACGCCGCGUAUAGGAAGAAGGUUUUCGGAUUGUAAACUAUUGUCAUGAGGGAAGAAAUUGACAGUACCUCAGGAGGAAGCUCCGGCUAACUAUGUGCCAGCAGCCGCGGUA
rnacentral:rRNA from 1 species